rnacentral:lncRNA from 1 species
GGGAAGGCAAGCACAUACAACACACACAAUGCAAGGGUAAGCUAGGUAUAAAAAGCAUGUUAUCAAUCAAGUAUUUCAAGCAUGCAAGAACCACAAACAAUACAGACUAUGACCAAAUGUAUUUUAUUGAUACCAAUGACCGACCACGUGAUUUGACCAUCCGGACUAGUAUGAAAUAUCGAGUUCCAGAGGUUUGUGCACUUGUGGUGCCCUAUUGCUUUGCAAAGCCAUUGCCGAGAGGUUUCACCCGACCACACACAAGGUUAGUCCGUUACAGCGGUAUAGGCCUAUAGUGAAAGCGCCUAUCCUAGGAUCUCCUGCUAUUCUCACGACAUGACUCAUCACUCUCUACUUGAGCUUGGAUGAUCAUUAAAAUGUCAGGAUAAACCCCAUUGGGAACUCCAGCCAUUCAUACGGUCAAUCACAACAAAGUACAUGGCACCAUCAUGUAACCUCCCUUGAGGAUCAUGGAAUUACAUCCAAUAACCAUACUUUUCACUUUCCACACCAUGCAUAUCUCUUACAUUCAUAUACUUUCAAUUUAGCCAUAUA